AUGAGCUCGGCCGAGCAGACGGUGACCUGGCUCAUCAGCCUCGGGGUACUCGAGUCCCCCAAGAAGAGCGUGUCGGACCCCGAGGCCUUCCUGCGGGCCGUGCUCCGGGAUGGGGUGGCUCUCUGCCGGCUGCUGGAGCGGCUGGUGCCGGGCUCGGUGCAGCGGAUACACCAGGACCCCAAAUCAGAGAUGGAAUGUCUGAAUAACAUCAAAGAGUUUCUGAAAGCCUGUGGGGCGCUUCGAGUUGAGACUUUUGAUGCGAAUGAUCUUUAUCAAGGACAGAACUUCAACAAGAUUCUUAGCUCCCUGGUCACUUUGAAUAAAGUAACUGCAGAUAUUGGCGUUGGAAGUGACUCGGUAUGUGCACGUCAUCAAUCCCAUCAAAUAAAGUCAGCUGAUUCUCUCGCUGGAGCCCACUUGUCACUUGGAAGAACUUCCAAAAACUUUCCUGGAAAAUAUCGAAGUUUAGACAUGACUGAUAACAGCAACCAUCACAUGGUGGUAAAAGCAAAAUUCAACUUCUAUCAGACCAACGAGGAUGAACUCUGCUUUACCAAGGGUGAUAUCAUCCAUGUUACCAGAAUUGAGGAAGGGGGCUGGUGGGAAGGAACACUCAACAGCAAAAACGGCUGGUUUCCCAGCAAUUAUGUGAGAGAAAUGAAGCUGAAUGAAAAAACAGUCUCUCCGAAGUCCGCAACUUUGAAAAGUUCACCUAAGGGAUUUGAAACUCCUCCAAUUAGUAAAGGUUACUACAAUGUGGUGCUGCAGAACAUUCUAGACACGGAGUUUGACUAUGCGGAGGAACUAACAAUGCUUUUGUCGACGUUCCUGCGACCUCUACAAGCCAGUGACAAGUUUAGUGCUGUUGAAGUGGCGUCCUUGAUAGGAAAUCUGGAGGAUAUUUGCUCAUUCCAACAGACUCUUGUUCAGUGUUUAGAAGAUUGCACCAGGUUACCCGAGUCACAACAGAAAGUCGGGGGCUGCUUUGCCAACCUAAUGUCCCAGAUGAAAAGUCUGUACCUUGCAUAUUGUGCCAACCAUCCAUGGGCGGUGAACAUCCUCACAGAGUACAGUGAGGAGUUGGGGGAAUUUGUGGAAAUGAAAGGCGCAUCUAGUCCUGGGAUUCUCAUGCUUACCACCAGCCUCAGCAAACCGUUCAUGAGACUGGACAAAUAUCCAACUCUGCUGAAGGAACUGGAGCGUCACAUGGAGGAUUCCCACCCAGACUGGCCUGACAUCCAGAGAUCCAUGAUUGCAUUCAAAAGCCUUUCGUCGCAGUGUCAAGAAAUCCGGAAGAGAAAGGAGUUGGAACUACAGAUCCUGACGGAAACAGUCCAUGGCUGGGAGGGUGAAGAUAUUCGAUCCCUCGGCAACGUCAUCUACAUGUCCCAGCUCAUGGUGCAGAGUGGCAAUGAGGAGAAGUGUGAGAGAUAUUUUCUCCUGUUUCCACACGUCCUUCUCAUGCUUUCUGCCAGUCCCAGGAUGAGUGGUUUCAUUUAUCAGGGGAAAUUGCCAUUAACAGGAUUAACCGUAACCAAGUUAGAGGACAGUGAUGAGAACAAGAAUGCCUUUGAAAUUACUGGAAGUAUGAUUGAACGGAUUUUGGUGUCGUGUUCAAGUCACCAGGAUAUGCAGGAGUGGGUCGACCAUCUGCACAAGCAGACUAAAGCACCAAGUGUCGGAGUUGUAAGGCAACAGUCCAUGCCAUGUCACACACUUCCGUUGCAUCCCGUGACACCAAUCAACAAGCUUUCUGAUGGGUAUCCAAUAUCUUUGACUCCACCCUACCACACCCUUCCUCAUCCUUCCCUGCAUGGGACAUCCCACAGCACCCUGAGUUGGGGACCUCUGGAACCCCCCAAGAUGCCAAAGCCAUGGAGCUUGAGCUGCCUCCGACCUGCAGCCCCACUAAAACCGUCGGCUGCUCUUUGUUAUAAGGAGGACCUCAGUAGGAGCCCCAAAACCAUGAAGAAGCUGCUUCCCAAACGGAAACCAGAAAGGAAACCUUCUGAGGAGGAAUUUGCACUGAGGAGAAGCACAGCAGCUCUUGAAGAAGAUGCACAAAUAUUGAAAGUCAUUGAAGCUUACUGCACUAGUGCCAAAACCCGUCAAACUCUGAACUCAACAUGGCAGGGGACUGACUUGAUGCACAAUCACAUUCUGAGCGAUGAUGAUCUAUCAAGCUUGGACUCCUCAGCUCGUCGCAGCAGCCUCUCCCGCCUCGAACCCGCUGACCUUUCUGAAGACUCUGACUAUGACAGUAUAUGGCUGGCCCACAGUUACCGAGCAGGUUCAACAACUCGUAAAAGCUGCUGUUCGUAUAUUUCGCACCAGAACUAAGCUCCAGUUUGCAAGAAUUGCUUGUAUUAAUUGGCUGUUUUAUGUUUCCCUGCUGUACUGUAUUAAAAUGUUAAUGUGUCAAAGCAAGGUAUUUUGGGGUUCUACCCAAGGCUCCUAUUUCUUUUCUUCUUUUCCUUUUUGAUGAUGAGUGGGGGAGCACUCAUUCUGUAAUUGACUGGCCAGUUUAAGAACUCUGCACUUACAACAACUUGGACUUGAAAUGGUGCCAAACCUGGCGACUCUUGUAUACUGUUUCGGUGUACUAUUCCUAUACACUCGUAUUAAGUCUAAGAUGUGCUUGUGUAUAGUAAUACUUUUACUGAACUGUAUGCAAAAAAGAAUUUCACUGUACCUCGGUACAUGUGACAAUAAAGCACCAUUGAGCCAUUUGUCUUCUGUAGAUCAGUGGACCUCAGCAGAGUGAGUCCACAGAGGUGGAGCUGCAACUAACUUAAUUACCGUGAUCUUUUUGAGGGUUCACCAACUAGACUUCUGGUGAUUCAUGGUGUUCACUAACCUUCCUGCAAUUGUGGGUUCUGAACGCGAGUUAGAGUUGACUGCCUGUUCAAAUUGCCAGGGUGUGUGGUGUCAAAUGAUGGUCCUUGGUGACUGAAUGUCAGCAAGGUUCAAGUAUUAUGCUGUUGAACAGGGUAGGAAACACAGAAGGAAGUACGUAUUUGAAUUCAGAGGCUUAAUAGAACCAGAAUUUUUGUUCAACUGAGUUUAUGACAAGUGCCAAACUUGGCAGAUAUCGAGCGAAUCCAAAAUGGUUUUCCUUGCUUUCUUUUGCGUCUGUUUGUUUGGCUGUUCCCAUUUGAUAUUGUGCUUUCUGUUAAUCUUGUUGAUAGUCAUUACUAUUCAUCACAAAUAUUUUGGCAGAAAUUGUGCAUUGAUUGAGUGGUUCAUUUAUACAGUCUGAUAAUAUUUAAAAGCAGGACAUCUGCAAACCUUUGAGCAGAGGACUAUUGUGGGGUGUAGUGAAUACAUGGAGUUAGUGGCUGUUUGAAGAGCAAGAUGAGAGAAACUAGGGAGAUGUUUGGCCAUGAAACACUAGGAAUCUCCAAGUUAAAUCUUGUGACUUUGUAAUUUCACACAAACUUGGGGUGCAGACACUGAUAUUGGUCUGUCUGCCAUUGUGAACCAUGCUGGGGUAAUUGAGUACAGUACAAGUUCGAGAGAUUAAUUCCAAGGCUCAAACUCUACACAAGCGGAGAGUUACUAAAUUUCCCAUUGUGUGGAAGGACUACUACAGAAAAUAAUCAGAGGGUUCUGCUUGACAACAAUCGUAGUGCUGUAAUGCCCUAAAUGUGAUCACUUCUGCCGCUAAGCCUGAAGCCUGGCAAUGAUGAUAGCUGAGUAGUUGUUUGUUUCAGCCUUCAAACUGCUGUAAUCUGUUUAAGGGGACUGUUUAUAGAUCAGCCAAGUAUUUGCUUUCUAGAUUGUAAAUUAAAUUUUAUUUUGAAGAAAGUGUGGAGGAGGUAACUGCCAUUUUUGCUGGGUAGAGUUUUAUGUCUGCACAAAGCAGAGAACGGUUGGUGUGUUCACCGCUGUCUGUCUCCACUCCCUAGCUCUCCCCAGCAUGAGAACCGCCGUCCUAGAGCUGCUCAUGAUGGGGAGUGGGUGUAUGCGAGGUAGUCCAUGUUUAUGGGGCAGUGUCUGAGCCCAUGUAUGGGUUUGUUGUGGGCUUUGGGUGACGUCAGAGCGUGGGUGAGUGUGGGAGUUGGCUGUGGGAGUGAGAGUUGGAGCUGGGUAGGUGUAGGCGUGUU